UACAGAGGGUGCAAGCGUUGUUCGGAAUUAUUGGGCGUAAAGCGCGUGUAGGCGGCUUGGCAAGUCGGGUGUGAAAUCCCUCAGCUUAACUGAGGAAGUGCGCCCGAAACUGCUUUGCUUGAGUGUCGGAGAGGAUGGCGGAAUUCCCCAAGUAGAGGUGAAAUUCGUAGAUAUCGGGAGGAACACCGGUGGCGAAGGCGGCGACCUGGGUCGACACUGACGCUGAGGCGCGAAAGCGUGGGGAGCAAACAGG
rnacentral:rRNA from 1 species